rnacentral:rRNA from 1 species
AUAUCAAUAAGCGGAGGAAAAGAAACUAACAAGGAUUCCCCUAGUAACGGCGAGUGAAGAGGGAAAAGCUCAAAUUUGAAAUCUGGCAGUCUAAGGCUGUCCGAGUUGUAAUCUAGAGAAGUGUUUUCCGUGCUGGACCGUGUACAAGUCCUUUGGAACAAGGCGUCAUAGAGGGUGAGAAUCCCGUCUACGACACGGACUACCAGUGCUCUGUGAUACACUCUCAACGAGUCGAGUUGUUUGGGAAUGCAGCUCAAAAUGGGUGGUAAAUUCCAUCUAAAGCUAAAUACAGGCGAAAGACCGAUAGCGAACAAGUACCGUGAGGGAAAGAUGAAAAGCACUUUGGAAAGAGAGUUAAACAGUACGUGAAAUUGUUGAAAGGGAAACGCUUGAAGUCAGUCGCGUCUUCAGAAAUUCAGCCUGGCUUCUGCCUGGUGUACUUUUCUGUUGGACGGGCCAGCAUCAGUUUUGGCCGCCAGAAAAAGGUGGGAGGAAUGUGGCACCUCCGGGUGUGUUAUAGCCUCUCAUCGUAUGUGGCGGCUGGGACUGAGGACCGCAGCACGCCUCUAAUGGCCGGGGUUCGCCCACGUAACGUGCUUAGGAUGCUGGCGUAAUGGCUUUAAACGA